rnacentral:rRNA from 1 species
AUUGCUCCCACGUCCAAGGACGGCAGCAGGCGCGAAAAUUGCCCACUCUUUGCAGGAGGCAGUUAUGAGACGUGAAGAUGAGUAUCUUGUAAAGAGGGAUAGGAGAAUUGGAGGGCAAGUUUGGUGCCAGCAGCCGCGGUAAUACCGACUCCAAGAGUGUGUAUGAGAGAUGCUGCAGUUAAAAAGUCCGUAGUCAUAGAAGGGCAAAGAGAGAUGCGAGGUCUCACAGUGCGAUGAUGGAGGAGCCGAUGGGGAACAUAGUAUACCAGGGCGAGAGAUGAAAUGCCAAGACCCCUGGUGGACUGAGCGAGGCGAAGGCGAUGUUCUUGUAGGCAUUCGGUGAUCAAGGACGAAGGCUGGAGUAUCGAAAGUGAUUAGAUACCGCAGUAGUUCCAGCAGUAAAAGAUGCCGACAUGCUCAUUGGACACAGUGGGCAGGGAGAAAUCUUAGAGUUCGGGCUCUGGGGAUAGUAUGCUCGCAAGGGUGAAAAUUAAAGAAA